rnacentral:ncRNA from 1 species
GGUUAGAAGGUCAGCGACGGUUCCCUUCGGGGAUCAAACGGGAACGCGGUGAGGGUUCGCCCUCGAUGCCGCGGCUGCCCCCGCAACUGUGAGCGGCGAGCCUUUUCACCACCGAUGUCACUGGAUGGGCCUCAUCCGGGAAGACGGUGAGAGGGCGACGACCCGCGAGCCAGGAGACCUGCCGUCAGCCGUGGUCACAC